GCAUCUCCAUGGAAACAGAGCCAACUGGCUUUCUUGUCAUGCUUCCAGCUGGGAAAGGUCUCAAGGCAAUUAUGACUUCAUGGUGGAAUCUUCUUAUAGUGGGGUAGAAGGCAGUGGGCUUGAUGGGGAGAGGGUGGGGGGAGGAGGAAGAGGAGGAAAAAGGAAGAAGAAAGCUAUCUCCAUGGGCAUACUUUGCAUUGUCUUUGUGGCUAUAGUUUAAGUGAUGAGACUGAUUCAUGCAAUGAGUAGGCCCCCAGUGAACAAAACAUUGAAACACCAGAGAUGGUUUUUAGAAUUUUAGAUAUCUUUUCUCCUGUUGGAACUGGACUUCUUUAGGGGUGCUGGACACCCUGGUCUUGCUUGGUGAAUUAAUUGAUGGAGAUGGAGAUAAGACAGAUUCGGCACCAGCACCCUCUGUGGCUAAUGACUCCCUUGUGUACUGAAGCCAAGGACCAUCAAGGAAAAGACUGGACACAUGGAAAUUGCCUUAGACCACAGUGAGCAUUAUCUCUAUUGCUAACAUCCACAAGAUGGAAAAAAUGACUUUAAAGAAGAAAAAUAAGAUCAAGGAAAAAUCUACCUCUAUGAUCCCCUACAGGAAGUCAUUUUUGUCCCUUUUUCAGUUCUCUGAGGAUGCCCCUAAUACCAGGGUUGUUUUCAGCACCAGUACAUCAUCCACACCAAAUAUAGUCACGCCUUUGGACUGCUUACCAUACUUUAGAACAUAUGAAGGGACCUUUGAUGAACCAUCAACUUUGAAUUUGGGGUUCUGCCUCCAGAAAGAAGAAAUCAAUGUUAGGCACAAGGAGGACCAGAAAGACUUGGUUCCCUCUGGUGGAUUCUUUCCAUAUUAUCGAUCUCAGGAUGAAUUCUUAGUCAAACCACUUCUACGGAGCAGGUUAUGUAAAGCCCACAGGACAAACUCCAGAAAUGAGGAAAAAGGAGGAGAUUCUAAUAGGGAGCUUGCCAUUCACAACUAUACACUUCUUCCCUAUAUGGUAGCAGCGAGAGCCCACCUGGGAGAGACCCUUAAGUCUAUUUCCAGUGCCACUCUGAAUGCCUUUGGAUUGAGAAGAUGCCAGAUCACAGCCCAUAUCUAAAAAACAUGAAGGUAAUCCAAGCAUAAACAAGAAGAUCAAUACCAUAAAGUUAAUUUCUCUGAUUUGCUAUUAGUUUAACCCUUAAAUAAAGAGUCACUUGGGUCCA
rnacentral:lncRNA from 1 species